CUCUAGUGAGUUCAGUGGCUAGAAUUCUUGGUUUUCACCCAGGCUGCCCAGGUUCAAUUCCUGAGCAGAGA
rnacentral:tRNA from 1 species